AUGUACCCACUCGUACACUCCGGUCCCUGCGCGCCGUCUGCACCCACCUGACGACC
rnacentral:sRNA from 1 species